UUUAUGGAGAGUUUGAUCCUGGCUCAGGACGAACGCUGGCGGCGUGCUUAACACAUGCAAGUCGAACGGAAAGGCCUAGCUUGCUAGGUACUCGAGUGGCGAACGGGUGAGUAACACGUGGGUGAUCUGCCUCGUACUUCGGGAUAAGCCUGGGAAACUGGGUCUAAUACUGGAUAGGACCAUGCUUUAGUGUGUGUGGUGGAAAGUUUUUUCGGUACGAGAUGAGCCCGCGGCCUAUCAGCUUGUUGGUGGGGUAAUGGCCUACCAAGGCGUCGACGGGUAGCCGGCCUGAGAGGGUGGACGGCCACAUUGGGACUGAGAUACGGCCCAGACUCCUACGGGAGGCAGCAGUGGGGAAUAUUGCACAAUGGGCGCAAGCCUGAUGCAGCGACGCCGCGUGGGGAUGACGGCCUUCGGGUUGUAAACCUCUUUCGCUAGGGACGAAGCUUUUGUGACGGUACCUAGAUAAGAAGCACCGGCUAACUACGUGCCAGCAGCCGCGGUAAUACGUAGGGUGCGAGCGUUGUCCGGAAUUACUGGGCGUAAAGAGCUCGUAGGUGGUUUGUCGCGUCGUCUGUGAAAUUCCGGGGCUUAACUUCGGGCGUGCAGGCGAUACGGGCAUAACUUGAGUGCUGUAGGGGAGACUGGAAUUCCUGGUGUAGCGGUGGAAUGCGCAGAUAUCAGGAGGAACACCGAUGGCGAAGGCAGGUCUCUGGGCAGUAACUGACGCUGAGGAGCGAAAGCAUGGGGAGCGAACAGGAUUAGAUACCCUGGUAGUCCAUGCCGUAAACGGUGGGCGCUAGGUGUGAGGGUCUUCCACGACUUUCGUGCCGUAGCUAACGCAUUAAGCGCCCCGCCUGGGGAGUACGGCCGCAAGGCUAAAACUCAAAGGAAUUGACGGGGGCCCGCACAAGCGGCGGAGCAUGUGGAUUAAUUCGAUGCAACGCGAAGAACCUUACCUGGGCUUGACAUAUGCAGGAUCGGCGUAGUGAUACGUUUUCCCUUGUGGUCUGUAUACAGGUGGUGCAUGGUUGUCGUCAGCUCGUGUCGUGAGAUGUUGGGUUAAGUCCCGCAACGAGCGCAACCCUUGUCUUAUGUUGCCAGCACGUGAUGGUGGGGACUCAUGAGAGACUGCCGGGGUUAACUCGGAGGAAGGUGGGGAUGACGUCAAAUCAUCAUGCCCCUUAUGUCCAGGGCUUCACACAUGCUACAAUGGUCGGUACAACGCGCUGCGAGCCUGUGAGGGUGAGCGAAUCGCUGAAAGCCGGCCUCAGUUCGGAUUGGGGUCUGCAACUCGACCCCAUGAAGUCGGAGUCGCUAGUAAUCGCAGAUCAGCAACGCUGCGGUGAAUACGUUCCCGGGCCUUGUACACACCGCCCGUCACGUCAUGAAAGUUGGUAACACCCGAAGCCAGUGGCCUAACCCUUGUGGGAGGAGCUGUCGAAGGUGGGAUCGGCGAUUGGGACGAAGUCGUAACAAGGUAGCCGUACCGGAAGGUGCGGCUGGAUCACCUCCUUUCUAAGGAG
rnacentral:rRNA from 1 species